rnacentral:rRNA from 1 species
CCUACGGGAGGCAGCAGUGGGGAAUUUUGGACAAUGGGCGAAAGCCUGAUCCAGCCAUGCCGCGUGCAGGAUGAAGGCCUUCGGGUUGUAAACUGCUUUUGUACGGAACGAAACGGUCUCUUCUAAUAAAGGAGGCUAAUGACGGUACCGUAAGAAUAAGCACCGGCUAACUACGUGCCAGCAGCCGCGGUAAUACGUAGGGUGCAAGCGUUAAUCGGAAUUACUGGGCGUAAAGCGUGCGCAGGCGGUUAUAUAAGACAGUUGUGAAAUCCCCGGGCUCAACCUGGGAACUGCAUCUGUGACUGUAUAGCUAGAGUACGGUAGAGGGGGAUGGAAUUCCGCGUGUAGCAGUGAAAUGCGUAGAUAUGCGGAGGAACACCGAUGGCGAAGGCAAUCCCCUGGACCUGUACUGACGCUCAUGCACGAAAGCGUGGGGAGCAAACAGGAUUAGAUACCCUGGUAGUCCACGCCCUAAACGAUGUCAACUGGUUGUUGGGUCUUCACUGACUCAGUAACGAAGCUAACGCGUGAAGUUGACCGCCUGGGGAGUACGGCCGCAAGGUUGAAACUCAAAUGAAUUGACGG